rnacentral:rRNA from 1 species
GAUGAACGCUGGCGGCGUGCCUAAUACAUGCAAGUCGAGCGAACGGACGAGAAGCUUGCUUCUCUGAUGUUAGCGGCGGACGGGUGAGUAACACGUGGAUAACCUACCUAUAAGACUGGGAUAACUUCGGGAAACCGGAGCUAAUACCGGAUAAUAUUUUGAACCGCAUGGUUCAAAAGUGAAAGACGGUCUUGCUGUCACUUAUAGAUGGAUCCGCGCUGCAUUAGCUAGUUGGUAAGGUAACGGCUUACCAAGGCAACGAUGCAUAGCCGACCUGAGAGGGUGAUCGGCCACACUGGAACUGAGACACGGUCCAGACUCCUACGGGAGGCAGCAGUAGGGAAUCUUCCGCAAUGGGCGAAAGCCUGACGGAGCAACGCCGCGUGAGUGAUGAAGGUCUUCGGAUCGUAAAACUCUGUUAUUAGGGAAGAACAUAUGUGUAAGUAACUGUGCACAUCUUGACGGUACCUAAUCAGAAAGCCACGGCUAACUACGUGCCAGCAGCCGGCGGUAAUAAGUAGGUGGCAAGCGUUAUCCGGAAUUAUUGGGCGUAAAGCGCGCGUAGGCGGUUUUUUAAGUCUGAUGUGAAGCCCACGGGCUCAGCCGUGGAGGGUCAUUGGAAACUGGAAAACUUGAGUGCAGAAGAGGAAAGUGGAAUUCCAUGUGUAGCGGUGAAAUGCGCAGAGAUAUGGAGGAACACCAGUGGCGAAGGCGACUUUCUGGUCUGUAACUGACGCUGAUGUGCGAAAGCGUGGGGAUCAAACAGGAUUAGAUACCCUGGUAGUCCACGCCGUAAACGAUGAGUGCUAAGUGUUAGGGGGUUUCCGCCCCUUAGUGCUGCAGCUAACGCAUUAAGCACUCCGCCUGGGGAGUACGACCGCAAGGUUGAAACUCAAAGGAAUUGACGGGGACCCGCACAAGCGGUGGAGCAUGUGGUUUAAUUCGAAGCAGCGCGAAGAACCUUACCAAAUCUUGACAUCCUUUGACAACUCUAGAGAUAGAGCCUUCCCCUUCGGGGGACAAAGUGACAGGUGGUGCAUGGUUGUCGUCAGCUCGUGUCGUGAGAUGUUGGGUUAAGUCCCGCAACGAGCGCAACCCUUAAGCUUAGUUGCCAUCAUUAAGUUGGGCACUCUAAGUUGACUGCCGGUGACAAACCGGAGGAAGGUGGGGAUGACGUCAAAUCAUCAUGCCCCUUAUGAUUUGGGCUACACACGUGCUACAAUGGACAAUACAAAGGGCAGCGAAACCGCGAGGUCAAGCAAAUCCCAUAAAGUUGUUCUCAGUUCGGAUUGUAGUCUGCAACUCGACUACAUGAAGCUGGAAUCGCUAGUAAUCGUAGAUCAGCAUGCUACGGUGAAUACGUUCCCGGGUCU